GCUGAAUUACAGAAAGCUGACGCCGGCUCCACCGCACGUGCUUUUAUAGCUUCCUGGUCAUGAUGUCACCCGCCCUUGACGUCUCACCCAGCUAUUGGACUGAUUUCACAUGUGAUUCAGAGCGUGGUCACAGAAGGCAUUCCCGA